GGCCUGUAUGGCACAAGCCUUGUGUUGCGUGUGAAACCAAGAAUGACCAUAGUCAAGAGAGUAUGAACUUUACAUAGCACCCUAUAAUCAUCUAACCUGUAGUAUUUACUGGAACUAUCGUCUAUCUGGAACAAACCGUGAAUACAGUCUCUAACUAUCAUCUAUCUGUGCUGACUCCUCACCGCUGUUUCUGGAACAAACCGUGAAUACAGUCUCUAACUAUCGUCUAUCUGUGCUGACUCCUCACCUCUGUUUCUGGAACAAACCGUGAAUACAGUCUCUAACUAUCGUCUAUCUGUGCUGACUCCUCACCUCUGUUUCUGGAACAAUCUAUGAAUGCAGUCUCGGUUAAAGCGUGAACAUUGCCUUUAAAUUUCGAUCCCUCUGUAAAGACUGUAAAGAUUGAUCACACUAUAUAAUGUAUCUCGGAAAUGUAUGUUAUGGAAACAGUAACAAAAGUUGCAACAGUAUGUUUGGUCAUACAAGGACCUUAUUGACUCACAGAUAGAGAGCCGGCCCAGCGUCAAUUUCUAUGUGUCACUUUGUGCUGCUUUUCCAAAAAGAUAUGCGUCACAACGUGCUGACAGGAAGGUCAGAGGGAUGGAUCAUCAUGCCUUCAUUUCCCUUAUUCCCAUUAUCCACAUAGUAUACUACUGACUGGAUGAAUAAAUAUUACUCCUCCCUUUUAUUACAUUCUCAUACGUUGGUCAAAGUCAACAGUACGGAGUCUUCUGUGAGUUACUGGGAACAUUAAUGAGUAAACGUGAACCAACAGUACGGAGUCUUCUGUGAGUUACUGGGAACAUUAAUGAGUAAACGUGAACCAACAGUACGGAGUCUUCUGUGAGUUACUGGGAACAUUAAUGAGUAAACGUGAACCAACAGUAUGGAGUCUUCUGUGAGUUACUGGGAACAUUAAUGAGUAAACGUGAACCAACAGUAUGGAGUCUUCUGUGAGUUACUGGGAACAUUAAUGAGUAAACGUGAACCAACAGUAUGGAGUCUUCUGUGAGUUACUGGGAACAUUAAUGAGUAAAUGUGAACUCCCUUACUGUUCAUUGUAAUGCGUAGUGAAACGCCUGCUCGUUUAUGUUCAGUCCAACACCAAGACAACAGACCAAAAUGGGACACCCCAUUAUUGCAUUACUUAAUUGUCAAAGGAAGUUUACAGUGCUGCACUUCUGACACAUACUGAAAUUCUUCAAUGACUACUCUGGCUGUUGCUUCAAUGACUAAUCUGGGUGGGAAAUCUGGAGUAUUUCUGAUACAUUUACAGUACAGCCCCCCUCUAGUGCUGCAUCCUGUGGUCUGACACGUUUUACUACUAACAACUGUACUCUGCUGCAACAGGACAGCUGUGUUGCACCCUACUGGGAAGUGGACUGCAGGUGUGGUGUAUAAUGUAUGUCUAGUUGUGUAUGUGUGUAGGGGGGAAGUGUGUGUGUGUGUGUUGGUAUGGUGGCCACAACUUCAUAUCUUCUAGAGCAGAAGUGAUGCUCUCGAACAUGGCCAUAACUUCAUAUCUUCUAGAGCAGAAGUGAUGCUCUCGAACAUGGCCAUAACUUCAUAUCUUCUAGAGCAGAAGUGAUGCUCUCGAACAUGGCCAUAACUUCAUAUCUUCUAGAGCAGAAGUGAUGCUCUCGAACAUGGCCAUAACUUCAUAUCUUCUAGAGCAGGAGUGAUGCUCUCGAACAUGGCCAUAACUUCAUAUCUUCUAGAGCAGGAGUGAUGCUCUCGAACAUGGCCAUAACUUCAUAUCUUCUAGAGCAGAAGUGACGCUCUCGAACAUGGCCAUAACUUCAUAUCUUCUAUAGCAGAAGUGAUGCUCUCGAACAUGGCCACAACUUCAUAUCUUCCAGAGCAGGAGUGCAACUCCAAUACUUCAUAAGACCAUGCACUACAGUAGUACUAUUUUGGUUAUAUAGGUUUCUGAUCGAAGACUGAGACAUCUGUUUGGCAAUUUCACCUGAAGACUGAGACAUCUUUUUGGCCAUUUCACCUGAAGAAUGAGACAUCUGUUUGGCAAUUUCACCUGAAGACUGAGACAUCUGUUUGGCCAUUUCACCUGAAGACUGAGACAUCUGUUUGGCCAUUUCACCUGAAGACUGAGACAUCUGUUUGAUCAUUUCACCUCAAGACUGAGACAUCUGUUUUGUCAUUUCACCUGAAGAAUGAGACAUCUGUUUGGCCAUUUCAACUGAAGAAUGAGACAUCUGUUUGGCCAUUUCAACUGAAGACUGAGACAUCUGUUUGGCCAUUUCACCUCAAGACUGAGAUAUCUGUUUUGUCAUUUCACUUGAAGACUGAGACAUCUGUGUGGCCAUUUCACCUGAAGACUGAGACAACUUUUUGGCAAUUUCACCUGAAGAAUGAGACAUCUGUUUGACCAUUUCACCUGAAGACUGAGACAUAUUUUUUUGCCAUUUCACCUGAAGACUGAGACAUCUUUUUUGCCAUUUAAGCUGAAGACUGAGACAUCUGUUUGGCCAUUUCACCUGAAGACUGCGACAUCUUUUUGGCCAUUUCACCUGAAGACUGAGACAUUUGUUUGGCCAUUUCACCUGAAGACUGCGACAUCUGUUUAGCCAUUUCACCUGAAGACUGAGACAUCUGCUUGGCCAUUUCACCUGAAGAAUGAGACAUCUGUUUGGCCAUUUCACCAGAGGUUGCAUCAUAAUGUCAUGAUUAGAGUGGUGGGGUAAUUACAGGAAUAGAUAGAAUACAUAGACAUAGGUUGUGUGCCAAGUGGCACCCUAUUCCUUAUAUAGUGCAUUGCUUUUGACCAGAGCCCUAAUGGUCUCGGUCAAAUGUAGUGCACUACAUAGAGAAUAGGGUGCCACUUGGGACGUAAACAUAGAUAUCAAAUCUGCUCUUUCCGGAUAAGAAGAUGAGUGAGAUAUACCCACAUGAAGAAAUACUAUAGUAUGUUAUGAUAUAAAUUCUACAGUAUUCACAGUAGUGUUUUUGUGGACUUUACUGUAGUACUCACUGUAGAAUACUGUUGUAUUUACAGUUAGCUCUAGUAUAAAUACUGUAGUAAAAGAGAACUGUGGACAUUACUGUAGUAUUUACUAUAGUGUUUUUGUUGUAUUAUCUUUGAUGUAGAAGUGGAUGUUUUCUCCUUCAGGAAAUCUAAUGGAAAAAUACUAAUAGAACACAUUUUCCAUAACCUGUAAGUAAUUAGGUAGGUAGGUAUGACUGGGGUUUGAACAGACAGUUCAGAGCUUCUGCUCUUUUCUAUAACCUCUAGUGAACACAAUAUAUGGUCUAUACUUGGCAUGUAGGUUUCUCACUUAUGGGUGGCACAAACUAUGCAAAUUAAAUACUGCAGUAUUUACUAUAGUUACAAAAGUGUAGUGUUUUUGCAGACACCUUCAUGUACUGUUUCUACAGCGCUAGUGGAUUCCGGUGCAGCCGGGAACUUUAUUGACCAGACCUUUGCCCCCCUCUGAACAUAAUCUCAUACACGCUCUCCUCUCAGUGUUCGGUUCAAGCCGUUGUUAAUCGGCCACUAGGAUCCGGAACCAUCACACACCGUCAUCGUGGAGUCCAUUCAUCAGGAAAAUAUUCCCUUCUUCAUCAUUAGUUCACCAGCUCACAACAUCAUCCUCGGCCUCCCAUGGCUCCAAUGCCAUAACCCCACCAUCUCAUGGUCGAGG
rnacentral:lncRNA from 1 species